rnacentral:rRNA from 1 species
UACGAAGGGUGCAAGCGUUAAUCGGAAUUACUGGGCGUAAAGCGUGCGUAGGCGGUUUCUUAAGUCUGCUGUGAAAGCCCCGGGCUCAACCUGGGAAUGGCGGUGGAUACUGAGGAGCUGGAGUACGGUAGAGGAAGGUGGAAUUCCCGGUGUAGCGGUGAAAUGCGUAGAGAUGUGGAGGAAUACCGAUGGCGAAGGCAGCCCCCUGGGCCAAUACUGACGCUGGGAAGCGAAAGCAUGGGGAGCGAACAGG